GCCGGCCGCGAAAGCCAGGCCUUCAUAUUUUGUUGUGUAAUGAUCCCCUCCGUAGGGUGACCUGCGGAGGGAUCAUUACACAACAAAAUAUGAAGGCCUGGCUUUCGCGGCCGGCUGAAGUAUUUUUUUCACCCAUGUCUUUUGCGCACUUGUUGUUUCCUGGGCGGGUUCGCCCGCCACCAGGACCAAACCAUAAACCUUUUUUUCUUAUGCAGUUUCCAUCAGCGUCAGUAAAAACAAUGUAAUUAUUACAACUUUCAACAACGGAUCUCUUGGUUCUGGCAUCGAUGAAGAACGCAGCGAAAUGCGAUACGUAGUGUGAAUUGCAGAAUUCAGUGAAUCAUCGAAUCUUUGAACGCACAUUGCGCCCUUUGGUAUUCCAAAGGGCAUGCCUGUUCGAGCGUCAUUUGUACCUUCAAGCUUUGCUUGGUGUUGGGCGUUUUUUUGUCUCCCUCUUUCUGGGAGACUCGCCUUAAAACGAUUGGCAGCCGGCCUACUGGUUUCGGAGCGCAGCACAUUUUUUGCGCUUUGUAUCAGGAGAAAAGGACGGUACUCCAUCAAGACUCUACAUUUUUCACUUUUGACCUCGGAUCAGGUAGGGAUACCCGCUGAACUUAAGCAUAUCAAUAAGCGGAGGAAAU
rnacentral:rRNA from 1 species